UUUCGUUAUUAGAGCGUUAAGCCGGGUGCAGGACAGUUUACUCUCAAAGCCGAUCCAAUAUAAUGAACUCUUCAGACAUAUGGCUCCAGAAUGCUCAGUCAUUUGAAGACUAUGAAGACGUUGUGGAAUUUCCGAUUUCCACUGGACAAGAUGGCAAGGAAAAAGUUAGAAAAAAGACACAAAAAAACAAAAUGGAACAGCAAAAAAAACUACAAGCAUCCUCCUCUUACGUUAUCACGAAAGCGCCGAAAAGGGCCCUAAAAAGGAUUAAAAUAGAGAUUUUUGAUAUCAGCGGGGGACAAACGUCAUCGUCUUCGACCUCGGAAGAUAGUGUGGUUAGUGCGCAGUAUAUAGUGUCAGAAGUAGUGGAUGAAAUAUUGGAUAAAUCUGAAAAGUUGGUGAAUGAAAUUUGUAAAAAACUUAGCAGUGAUUCAUAUUAUAAUCUUUAAAACUGUAUGCUAUGUGUAUGUAUUGGUACUAUAUUUAAUAAACUAACUACCUACUUAGUA